rnacentral:rRNA from 1 species
GACAGAGGAUGCAAGCGUUAAUCGGAAUUACUGGGCGUAAAGCGUGCGCAGGCGGUUUUGUAAGUUUGUCGUGAAAUCCCCGGGCUCAACCUGGGAAUGGCGAUGAAGACUGCAAGGCUAGAAUCUGGCAGAGGGGGGUAGAAUUCCACGUGUGAGCAGUGAAAUGCGUAGAGAUGUGGAGGAACACCGAUGGCGAAGGCAGCCCCCUGGGCCAAUACUGACGCUCAUGCACGAAAGCGUGGGGAGCAAACAGG